GUCUUCUUGAUUUAUGAUUUUGGUUGUCGCGGAGGAGGUUGUCCCGGAUGCGGAAGAAAGUAAGUAUUGUAAAGAUUGAAGUUAAAGAUGCUUAAUGGAUAUGGGUUGCUUUGGUUAAAUGCGGAUAACGGUAUUGGUAAUAGGACCCAUAGUGACCCCUUUGAACUAUCGGCUCUUUGUACUCUUGUUAUGUCUUUUUGGAGAAUUAUUAUGAUGUCUAAUGUUGGACUCGAGUUUUUGGGUAUUUUAAAUGGGUCGUUUUGUAGUUGUAA